GUAUUCAUCCUAUAAAAUUUUAGUAUGAUUCAUUUCCUGGUGAAUCUGUACAUGUUUUCAAAUUAUUAAUAUCCAUCCUAUAAAAUUUUAGUAUGAUUCAUUUCCUGGUGAAUCUGUACAUGUUUUCAAAUUAUUAGUAUCCAUCCUAUAAAAUUUUAAUAUGAUUCAUUUCCUGGUGAAUCUGUACAUGUUUUCAAAUUAUUAGUAUCCAUCCUAACAACCUUUUGAAGGCCAAUUUUUUAGUGCGCAGCGCGGUUUCAGUGAUGGUGUCGUGUUGCGAGUGCUUUCAGCUUGGCGUCGGGCAAUUGGAUAACUCUCAUCUGCUCGCCUGGUGAAGGCCCACUACCUCCUUCAUACUUGCUCUCCUGGCGGAGACCUAGCACCUUUUUCGAAAUCGGAGCGAGGAGAGUUCGGGGUCGACGAUCGGGCGGUGGCUCCGCGACCUCCGC